rnacentral:rRNA from 1 species
AUCACUCGGCUCGUGGAUCGAUGAAGAACGCAGCUAAUUGCGCGUCAACAUGUGAACUGCAGGAUACAUGAACAUUGACGUUUCGAACGCACAUUGCGGUCCUCGGAUACUGUUCCCGGACCACUCCUGGCUGAGGGUCGUAUAUUAUAACCAGACUGCUACUUGCUUUCGGCCAAGCUAGCGAAUGUUGGGAUUUCGCGUAAAUGCGUGUCCUUAAAUUAUCACUCAACGUGUGAGCCAGCCCUGUAUGCGACACGGCGUGUACCGUUCGUUGUCAGCGCGUGGGAUUACGGCGAGUUGUGUGUCCUAGAUUAAAUUCUUCGACUCGACUCGACCCCGAAACCCGUGCUGCUCGAUUGUGUCUCGUCAGCUUACAGGACGAUCCAAAGGUUCCUCGUUAAAAUGCGCGAGAUAUUCGUAUCGAGCGCGACUCUAAAAACGACCUCAGAGCAGGUGAGACUACCCCCUAAAUUUAAGCAU